GGGCCAGCCACCUGCUUAGUCGGAGUAAGAAUGCCUGCAGAGACCUGGACCAGAGUGGGCAGAAUGGAGGGCCUAAAUAGUGUUCCUUGGAGAGAAAAUUACCCUGGGAAUGAAUAAACAAGAGCAAUGCAAAUGAUAUCCACGACUGUUACAGAUGCUUCGUGGAGGUUCAAAAAGACUACAGAUCAAGGCCAGUGACCUUCUACACAUGGUGGACACUCCAGCCUCUGCUCAAUCUCCAUCCACACUUAAAGGAAAUAGCCAACUCUUGGCCAACCUUCAGGCCUGGGAAGAGGCUCAAGCAGACACUGAAGACGGACUUAAGGCUAUACGAUGUCCGGAAGUGGUGGGUUCUUGGUCUCACUGACUUCAAAAAUGAAGACGAAGACGUGGACUCUGGCGGUGAGUGUUACAGUUCUUAAAGGCGGUGUGUCCGGAGUUCAUUCCUUAUAAUGUUGGGAGUUUCUUCCUUAUGGUGGGUUUGUGGUCUCGCUGGCUCCGGAGUGAAGCUGCAGACCUUCGCGGUGAGUGUUACAGCUCUUAAGGCGGCACGUCUGGAGUUGCUGGAUCCUCCCGGUGCGUUUGUGGUCUCGCUGACUUCAGGACUGAAGCUGCAAACCUUUGCCGUGAGUGUUACAGCUUAUAAAAGCAAUGUGGACCCACAGAGAGAACAGCAGCAAGAUUUAUUGGAAAGAGAUAAAGAAUAAGGCUUCCACACUGUGGGAGGGGACCGGAGGGGGUUGCCACUGCUGGCUCCGGCAGCCUGCUUUUAUUCUCUUAUCUGGCCCCACCCACAUCCUGCUGAUUGGUAGAGCCCAGUGGUCUGUUUUGACAGGGUGCUGAUUGGUGCAUUUACAAUCCCUGAGCUAGACACAAAGGUUCUCCAAGUCCCCACCAGAUUAGCUAGAUACAGAGUGUCCAUUGGUGCAUUCACAAACCCUGACCUAGACACAGGGUGCUGAAUGGUGUGUUUACAAACCUUAAGCUAGAUACAGAGUGCCGAUUGGUGUUUUUACAAUCCCUUAGCUAGACAUAAAGGUUCUCCACGUCCCCACCAGACUCAGGAGCCCAGCUGGCUUCACCCAGUGGAUCCCGCCCAGGGGCUGCAGGUGGAGCUGCCUGCCAGUCCCGCGCCGUGUGCCUGCACUCCUUAGCCCUUGGGUGGUGGAUGGGACUGGGCGCCGUGGAGCAAGAGGCGGCGCUCAUCCCGGAGGCUCCGGCGGCACAGGAGCCCACGGAGAGGAGGAGGCUCAGGCAUGGCGGGCUGCAGGUCCCAAGCCCUGCCCCGCGGGAAGGCAGCUAAGGGCUGGCGAGAAAUUGAGCACAGCAGCUGCUGGCCCAGGUGCUAAGCCCCUCAGUGCCUGGGGCCGGUGGGGCCGGCUGGCCGCUCAGAGUGCGGGGUCCGCCCAGCCCACGCCCACCUGGAACUUGCGCUGGCCCGCAAGCACCGCGUGCAGACCCAGUUCCCUCCCGCGCCUCUCCCUCCACACCUCCCAGCAAGCUGAGGGAGCCGGCUCCGGCCUUGGCCAGC
rnacentral:lncRNA from 1 species